GAUCCUGGCUCAGGACGAACGCUGGCGGCGCGCCUAACACAUGCAAGUCGAACGGAGUCAAGAGGAGCUUGCUUUUCCUGACUUAGUGGCGAACGGGUGAGUAACGCGUGAGUAACCUGCCCUGGAGUGGGGGACAACAGUUGGAAACGACUGCUAAUACCGCAUAAGCCCACGGCCCGGCAUCGGGCUGCGGGAAAAGGAUUUAUUCGCUUCAGGAUGGACUCGCGUCCAAUUAGCUAGUUGGUGAGGUAACGG
rnacentral:rRNA from 1 species